UUUCCAUUUCUUUACAUAUCCAGUUUUUGUUAGUUGACUGAGAGUUUAUUGUAUCCAGUAUGUAGGAGAAGAUAGAGUCGUCUACUGAUGUUCUGAAAGGGAUAUUAAGACCUGUUGUGGAAGGAGUGGAAGAAAUUUCAUGGCCUCCAAGAGAUCCUGAAGCUAUCAAUCAAAUGGAAAAGGAAAUGAUACAACGGGGACAAGAAGGGGAAUUAGAUGAAGGGUUUCUUUCAGAAGUUAGUGCUCAUCUACGGCAGGGAACGAAGUUCUAAAGGCGGAGCAUUUUGUGGAAACUCUGAUCAAAGCUCCUGAGGAACAAUGGAACAUGUUUUUCUUAGAAGGGUUAACACUCGGGAAAGGUGAAGUAACGCCUGCUGAGUUUUCUGCCGUUAUAACAUAAACUUUGUUUUAUGUAAUGUCUCUCUACACAUAUAUAAUAAAAAAACACAACAAUAUGAAAGAAAGUCUAACAUGCUAACCGCGUUUAAUUUGGGUUUAAACCAUAUGAUAAUACAAUUGUUUGAUCCGAUUUUUAAAAUUCCUCACACUUAACCAUUAUAAUGUUGAUGGCCCUACCAGGAAGGAGGUUCAUACCAGCAGCGAAUCUUGAUCGAGUAUCUCAAAGGGAUUGCGUCCAGAGCAAAUGAAAUUAUAAAAUUACUUCAGGGUUAAAUUAAUUCCAAAUUUAUAUAAAAAAUCAAUUAAUUACACUCAUAGUGAACUUUUUGUUAUGUUACUCUGCCUUUGACGAUUCAAACUAGCAAAUUUUACAUAAAUAGUAGUGAACUCGAUAGGUUUUUAUUUUCAUAAAGAGACGAUCAUUAUGAAACAAAUGAAAAAGAGAAAAAAAAACAAUAAUUAUGGAUCAACUUAACCCACUCGAAGAACAAAGUCAAACCAACAAACUAUUCAAAAUUUAGAAUUAAAUUAAAUAUAAUGUACAACGCAAGUAUUACAUAUAUUUUUUACAAGUUUAACAAAUUUAGGUAUAUAAUCCGCGUGUUACGAAAUUCGUUAUUAGGAAAUAAAAAUAGUCUAGACAAUUCAAAUUUUUUGUUAAAACACUCCGAUAAAACACAUUAGCGAAUUUAUGUUCAUAAAAAUAACUCUUCU